GAUGAACNCUAACGGGAGNCNUAAUACAUGCAAGUCGAAAGGUAAGGAUCUUUCGGGAAUACACGAGUGGCGGACGGGUGCGUAACGCGUACACAAUCUAUCCCUAACAGGAAGAUAGCCCCGGGAAACUGGGAUUAAUAUUGCAUAGUAACAAGAAAUGGCAUCGUUUCUUGUUUAAAGCUCAGGCGGUUAGGGAUGAGUGUGCGUCUGAUUAGCUAGUUGGUGAGGUAACAGCUCACCAAGGCAAUGAUCAGUAGCUGGUCUGAGAGGAUGAUCAGCCACACUGGGACUGAGACACGGCCCAGACUCCUACGGGAGGCAGCAGUAGGGAAUAUUGGACAAUGGGGGAAACCCUGAUCCAGCCAUCCCGCGUGCAGGAAGAAUGCCCUAUGGGUUGUAAACUGCUUUUAUAAGAGAAGAAACAGAGGGAUUCAUCCUUCUUUGACGGUACCUUAUGAAUAAGCACCGGCUAACUCCGUG
rnacentral:rRNA from 1 species